UGAGUUGAGUUGAGUUGAGUUUGUCCUGAAAUUAUCUCAUUUAAGCAUAGGCUGGAAUAAAAGGAUUUAGUUCAUUGGCACUUUAUUGUCAAUUGUGGUUCAGUAUAUCGUUCUACCUUGGUAUGUGUGUUAGUAACCCUAGGCGGUUGGUGCACAUCAGAAAUAGUUGGGUUUGUGAUUGGCCCACUGCAGCUACUGUUUCUAAACUGGAAGACUGACAGCAAUUUUAUUCCCUUUUUUUUGAAUUGCAACAGCAAUUUUCUUCCUUUCUCACACAAAGCUUGUUGUCUGCAGAAGAGUGGAGGAAAAAACAGAUACAAAGCUUGUUCUCCACUGGAUAAUAUGAUUUAACACACUAUAUGCCCAACAAACAACAACCCUUGUCAGUCUUGUGGCCCACUGAAUAAUACAAUGCUUGCACUCUCUGCUUAACCUUAUAUUGAAAAAUAAGACCCAUGUCAGUGAGUACAUAGAAAGUGCCAGCAUUUAUCAUUUUGUUGGAUGUCCAAAUAUUACUAGCUCAGGAGAUCAUUUGUGGCAUCUGAAGAAAAACUUUUGUUGGUGCUGUUUGGGGAACAUGGAAUAUCCACUAAAUGAUAUCAAAAAAAUAUUACUUUAUCCAUAUUUCCUUAAUUAAUCUUGAUUUGCUGUUUUGUGUAGGGGCCAUAGCAGUGAAAGAUA
rnacentral:misc_RNA from 1 species